UACGGAGGGCGCGAGCGUUAAUCGGAAUUACUGGGCGUAAAGCGCGCGUAGGCUGUUGUGUAAGUUGGGGGUGAAAUCCCACGGCUCAACCGUGGAACAGCCCUUGAUACUGCGCGACUUGAAUCCGGGAGAGGGUGGCGGAAUUCCAGGUGUAGGAGUGAAAUCCGUAGAUAUCUGGAGGAACAUCAGUGGCGAAGGCGGCCACCUGGACCGGUAUUGACGCUGAGGCGCGAAAGCAUGGGGAGCAAACAGG
rnacentral:rRNA from 1 species